ensembl:snRNA U6 U6 spliceosomal RNA
GUGCUCACUUCACCAUCACAUAUUCUAAAAUUGGAACACUACAGAGAAGAUUAGCAUGGCCCCUGUGCAAGGAUGAUAUACAAAUUCAUGAAGCAUUCCAUAUUUUU